UGGUUUGUGGCUUUAAUCCGCCUGCUUUGUCAUUUAAUCGAACUUAAACAACUAAUUAUGUUAAGUAGGUGCUUAAGGAUUCAAUUGACUUUUUUAUUACCAUUUAAAAUCAGAAAUAGUGCAAAGUGCAUUUUAAAGAACAAUAGAAAAUUUAAGGCGCUUUAGUUUGGGUAAAGUUACUGAACUUUUGCCAAUCUAAUUGCACAAGUGCACGAGGCGCAACCGUUAUUAUCCUUGGUCCUUGUUUCGUCCUUGUUCCGGUGGCGUUGGCAAAUUCACGCCACUCGCUUGUUUGCGCAAAUUUGAUUAUCAAAAUACCCAAGGAGAGUGCAGCCGUGGUCGGAAAAGUCGGGAAAGAAGUCGCGAAAGGAAGAAGGAUAAUGCCAUGUCGCCGCAUUAGCGCCUCUGGUGGGUCGGGUUGGGCGUGGUCGUCGUCCCGUGAAACAAGCUCGAAAUUGAGUUUGCCUAGUGUCCUUGCGCCCCUUUAAUGCCACCCCCUUCCUGUCCACCACCACUAGCCCUUUUGCCUGCUGGGCUGAUUAAAGCUCCAUGCCAACUUGCGGUGAUUUGCUCUUUUUUCUGGCACAUCAUUUGGAUGCAGUGGCGCCCUGCACAAAUGGGGCAUUAAGCCCUCCGAUGUCGGGACCUGACAUAUAUUAAAUUUCAUCUCGCCGUCAGUCGGAUUCGGAUGCGGAAUCGGGCGCCUAAUGAAGGUUAAGCAACUUUUAAUGUCCCGGCCCGGGCCAUUUUGCAGACCAUUAAAUGUUUCGCCUGGCAAUAUGCCAUAUGUUUCCAACAUGGACAUAAGCCCCAUGUCCGGAAAAUGUUCGCUGCGUUCUGCAAAAACUUUACUUAUCAUUUCAGCGCCAAAAGCCAUAAAGACGCUCGCUAAGUCUGCGUGUGUUUGUGAUGACACGACGAUGACAGUAAUCGUAAUCCUAGUCAUGGUAAUGAUGACACUGGGGCGCUCAGCCCACAGCCAUGCCAUAUAAGCAUAUGGCGGUUGGGUUCCAGGAAUCAGGCUGGGCAGAGGCACUUAACGGUCAUGUGGAGGGCUAACGAGCGAUUUCACCCUUUAUGGCCGGCAUUUGGAUGCCAUCGGUUAUCGGAUUCCGUCACGAGUAUUUUCAAUUAGUAAUGUGGACUGUGGAAAUCGGUUUCACUGGCGUAUCGCAUUGAUAUGAUUGCUUUUUGUGUUAUUAGUUAGUUGUUCUGGUUGUUGCUUCCCACACAUGUAGUUCCAUUCAUCGCCAGUGUCACGCCCGAUGGACACCUUCCGGACUCCCAGUCAAUCGCAAUUGGUGUGACUUUCGACUGCCGCAGUUGCUCCUGACCAGAGUUCAAUCUUCAAUCGUUACCCCUUUGCACUCGAGCAGAACGCGACGCAGUCUUAAGUGGUAUGAAGACUUUAACAUUCGAACCUUGGUGCACUUCAACAAGAAAACAUGUUCCUAAUUGAUGUUAGUGGUAUUUGCUUUUUCUCAGUGUAUUUUGUGCAUGGUUAUGUGAGCAUUUUCCAUGUUCACACAAGUACCGGCCCCCUUGCCAUCGCCACUCCCCUCUGUAAUUUCAUGCUCCAUUGGCCAACGAAAUCGCCACACAAUCAAAGGAAAAGCUUCGCCCUUUUCGUCAAGACUUGAAGUUAUACAACCAUCGAGCUGAAUGCUAAGAAUUUGGCCCACAUUGUGGCACUGCGGGAGUUUGCUAAAAUAUAUAUAUAGUAUUUAAAUUCCCAGGCCCAAUUUAUGCACUUCUAAGUUUUUGAAA
rnacentral:misc_RNA from 1 species